UACGUAGGGUGCGAGCGUUAAUCGGAAUUACUGGGCGUAAAGCGUGCGUAGGCGGUUCGUUAAGUUCGUUGUGAAAGCCCCGGGCUCAACCUGGGAACUGCAAUGGAAACUGGCGGGCUUGGGUGUGGCAGAGGGGGGUGGAAUUCCGCGUGUAGCAGUGAAAUGCGUAGAGAUGCGGAGGAACACCGAUGGCGAAGGCAGCCCCCUGGGCCAACACUGACGCUCAGGCACGAAAGCGUGGGGAGCAAACAGG
rnacentral:rRNA from 1 species